UGGGGAAUAUUGGACAAUGGGCGAAAGCCUGAUCCAGCCAUGCCGCGUGAGUGAUGAAGGCCUUAGGGUUGUAAAGCUCUUUCAGUGGGGAAGAUAAUGACGGUACCCACAGAAGAAGCCCCGGCUAACUUCGUGCCAGCAGCCGCGGUAAUACGAAGGGGGCUAGCGUUGUUCGGAUUUACUGGGCGUAAAGCGCACGUAGGCGGAUCGUUAAGUCGGGGGUGAAAUCCUGGAGCUCAACUCCAGAACUGCCUUCGAUACUGGCGAUCUUGAGUCCGGAAGAGGUGAGUGGAACUCCUAGUGUAGAGGUGGAAUUCGUAGAUAUUAGGAAGAACACCAGUGGCGAAGGCGGCUCACUGGUCCGGUACUGACGCUGAGGUGCGAAAGCGUGGGGAGCAAACA
rnacentral:rRNA from 2 species